GGUCCGUUGGUCAAGGGGUUAAGACCCGCCUUUUCACGGCGGUAACACGGGUUCGAAUCCCGUACGGACUA
rnacentral:tRNA from 1 species